rnacentral:rRNA from 1 species
GAUGAACGCUGGCGGCGUGCAUAACGCAUGUAAGUCGAACGGUGAAGCCUGCUAUUUAUAGUGGGUGGAUCAGUGGCGAACUGGUGAGUAACACGUAGGUGACCUGCCCCAAAGAGGAGGAUAACUUUACGAAAGUGAAGCUAAUACUCCAUGUGGUCGCGCAUUCAAUUGUGCGACUAAAGCUCCGGCGCUUUGGGAGGGGCCUGCGGCCCAUCAGCUAGUUGGUAGGGUAACGGCCUACCAAGGCUAAGACGAGUAGCUGGUCUGAGAGGACGAUCAGCCACAAUGGCACUGAAACACGGGCCAUACUCCUACGGGAGGCAGCAGCGAGGAAUAUUGCACAAUCGACGAAAGUCGGAUGCAGCAACGCCGCGUGGACGAUGAAGGCCUUCGGGUUGUAAAGUCCUUUUAAGAGGGAAGAGGAAGGACGGUACCUCUUGAAUAAGCCUCGGCUAACUACGUGCCAGCAGCCGCGGUAACACGUAGGAGGCGAGCGUUAUCCGGAUUUAUUGGGCGUAAAGAGCACGCAGGUGGCUGAGUAAGUCGGGUGUGAAAGCCCCGGACUUAAUCCGGGGAGGUCAUUCGAUACUGCUUAGCUUGAGAACGGGAGAGGGAAGUGGAAUUCUCGGUGUAGUGGUGAUAUGCGUAGGCAUCGAGAGGAACACCAGUGGCGAAGGCGGCUUCCUGGCCCGUUUCUGACACUAAGGUGCGAAAGCGUGGGUAGCGAACGGACUUAGAUACUCCGGUAGUCCACGCCGUGAACGAUGGGUACUAGGUGUAGGGGAUGUAAAAUUCUCUGUGCCAAAGCUAACGCACUAAGUACCCCGCCUGGGGACUACGGCCGCAAGGUUA